AUGUGAAACAACCUGAGAAACGCGUGUUUUUUAUUUGGGGAGUGUGUCGAGGAGCGACAGGAUGGCAGAGAAACAGGAUGUCACGCUAGAUUAUGACUUUCAGUAACCAAAGCACCGGGAAAAGAUGCAAAGAAACCCUCAUUUGGUGGAGACUGCCUUUUCUUAUCAGGUUUUCAGUAGGAGCGUAUAAAAGACCUGCACGCCAGGGCACGGGCACGCUCCCGGGCACAGAUGCCACGUCCCUGGUUUCAGCAGGCAUCGCGCCCCUCACGUUGAGAGAAGAAUUGAGUCCAUUAAGAGCUUCAGGACCCAGAGUGCACACCGUCAAAGGCACCGGCAAGCCCAAGCAGCGUGCGACGAGCUACCAAUCUUUCACGAUGCCCAGGACAAGCUAGGGAUGCAAGCAAUGCCCGGCCGCUAAGCUAGCAGAGACAAGACGCUCACGUCUCUUCCUUGCCAACGUGAUGCCAUUGCACAAGGAUGCGGAUAAACAAGGAGACUCUCCGGGUUUUCAGCGGGGCGUUUCGGGGACGCUGCACAGUCCACUAAAUAAAGCCGUUUUCCCUCUUCCGCAGAGAAGUUGCCCUAACUGAUCUAUCGGUGAUGUUCAGAGUCUCUAGACCUAGAUAGUUAUUUAUAUUUUCCCCCCUGCAGCACUAGGCGAGUUAAAAAUAAGAGCCAGGAAUGACUUUCUGUCAUGCCACCAUGCAUGCUGCUGCAGUGAGACCUAAGCAAAUGGGAUUUUCGAGUAUGGUAAAAAGCUGUAGUUUGUGCUUUCCUUUGGCCAACACGCUUGCCAGGACAUAUAAAUGCAGGGCCGAGCCUGCCUUCCUAGAAGAGCGUGAUAGUCUUCUCGGCUGGAAAGCUGACAAGACACUGAAUUCCGAAUUCAGGAAAUGUUCAGCCCUAUGAUGUGUUCAUAAUUAAAUUUAUUUCCCUUGAAUGCAGCUGUGAGUCUCCCUGGCUUAUUGCGCCAGGCGGCUGCAUGUAAAGGAUGAAGCCUGUGGAAUCGAAUAGAUUGAUGACAUGAUUUAAGAACUAUUGGGAAAGAUUAAUUGAAUUAAAUGGGACUCUCACUAGUUGCCCUAAUCUUCUGGAGUGAGCUUGACUGAUUUCACACCUUACCUGCAUUCCCAAACCCAUACAUUAUAUAUGUUUUAUAUGUUUUCCCCCGGUUUAUUAGGAGCUUUCAGUGUUCAGUCACUUACUACCCACUGGAGGACAAACCCCCAGAAAUAUUUAUAGUCUUUUUGAUGCCUUGUUUGUUCCUCUCCUUGCUGUAUGAUAAUGGGGCUGAGUGACUGCUGACGACCACUUUGAGAUGCCUCUAGAGACACAGGGGUCAAAUCCCAGGAGUCUUGCCCAGCCCCUGCGGGCGCUUGGACACGAUGUGUACCGUUUAGAUGCACGUGAUGAAACGGCACCAAAAUCGCCAUUUUGCUACGUUUCAUAGUUGUUCGGGUCGCAAGGGACCUCAAAAGAUCAUCGACUUAGUUGCAUGUGAAAAUACACACUGACAUCUUCUUAUUGCGGUAGGUUUUGGUUUCUCGUAGUAAAUUAGACCACCUGAGCUAAAGGGGAAGAGCACGGCCCCCCCUGAGACCCUUCGUUGAUGCAGCUGUGAAAUCUCCAUCGCUGGAGAUGUUCAAGAAGAGGCUGGACAAGCAUCGGUUGGGGAUGAUUUAGGUCUACGUACGUCUGUGUUGUACUCUGGCUAUUUCCCAGGCCCCUGGGCUUUGCUGGUUGCCACAUAGGGCUGGGCUGGGAACGAUUAUUGAGACCCUCCAUGCCCGGCAGCGGCUGCCUUCUCCACGCGGGGGCAUUGCCGAGACAUGCCCUAAAGGGGCUGCUCUGAUCAUCUCUUAAUCCCCAUGCCAAAUGCCAAAAAAAGCACGCCUGCUGCCCCGCACGAUGGAUUGAUAUUUCCACAAGCUAACGAGCUAUGACAUUGCACCAGGCAUGAUAAUUGGACCUCAGGGCCCAGCCCCACUGCGGUCACUCCGGCGGGAAUCGGACAUUUUGGGGUCAGCACAACCUCCAGAUGGCACAAGGGAUGUUAAGAAGAAAGAGACGUCCGAGCCUGCGGACUAAACGUGCGCCAAGGGAGACGACUCAUUACGCGCCUGCCUCAUCUUGUAGUGAUUUGAACUAGGUGCAGGGAGAAUCGGGGAGGUUCCCGUCUUCUCCCCCUUGGGCUGUCAAACGUGUAGUGUCAGUGGGAAGACGCAGGCCACGAGGUACGACCCCGCAUGCAACAACCAGGAUCCCUGCGCACGAGUUACGGCUGUGAAAAUCGAUGAAAGCUGGAGGUCUGCACCGGAGCAGGGUUUCGCAGAAGCUCCUGCAGCAAAGUACUUUGCAAACGGCCACAUCGCUGUUUCGAUGCAGAAAACUCCUCCAGUGACAGCGUCUUCAGUAAUCCAGACUUUGCAAUUGCACAGCAGGAAAUUAUGAAGCCAGGCUUUUGGGGAGGUAAGUAGUGAUUUAAGGUAAAAGCCUUUCAAGAUGAUCUAAAACUUUAAUUUAGACGACAUCCCAAACACAAACCGAAGUGUUAAGUAAUGGAAGGAAAUGGUUAUGCUUUAAGAAUUAGGACACCUAAUUGAGCAGCGACAAGACUGACAGAAGGUAAACAACUGCAGAUACGAUGCCUUAUUUUAUUUAUAACGUGCGCUUACUCGAUGCUAGUACCGUUAUUUGAAUUCUCGCUAGUAUCGGGCUUUGAAAAUUUCAACCUCGUUAAAUAUUCUAAGGCUGCGCUGUGCUCAGACAUCCCCGUCACAGAGAAGGAGCUUGCAGAUGCCCACAAACCCUGAACAGAUGGUAUAUCGGAGGAUUUCUGCACACUGAAGGGCCUUGCAGAGUUAAAAGGAAUUUUUAUGAGCCCACCAAGAAGCAGCGGCAAACGCAAUGAAUUUCCAGAGGACAAACGUUUGUUGUAAACAUCGUGAACUCAGACGUGCGCGUCGUGGUUUAAUGCCGCUGGACCGCAUCUGCUCGUGACACCCAACCGGGCUCUGCCCAGCGAGGACUUUCCACCAGAGAGAGAGACCACGUCCUUGAACGGGCCACCCACCACCCCACGCAACCCUACUGCACCGCGGGACGACAACGCACCCCUCUUGAUGCCACCUGCCAUCCCUGCCAGAAAGACCCUUGGAUAAUGGCAACCUAUUCUGGAAGGGGACAACACUUUGAGAUAUUCCCGAUCCGACCCCUCAUUGCUCCUGGCUUUUGCACAACACCCGUGCCCCGGGCUGAACUCGUCCUCAGAAAUCAACUCCCCAGCGAUCAGCACGCAGCCACGGGCACUGAGAAGCAAAUGCAAAAUCUUUUUCAACACCUCUUGUGAAAAAGCAUCCUACGUGUGCCUAUCGCAAAAUGUGAUACGCCGCAUCCGAUGCACCAAACGGCCUCGUGGAAACGACGUGGGUGAAGCCAAACGCCACUGGUAAAAACGAUAAAGCCUUUGGAUGGUAGCGGGAAAGGAGAGCAGCCUCUCCAUUUCUCACACCACCGGCCUUGCCCUCAAGGAAAACCUACACGAUACCUGCAGAAGAUGGGCCCGGGAACACAACUUCAUUAUUUGACUGGACGCUAAAAACCAUGGACUUUUAACACAGGCACUGGUUUUAUAGCUCAUUACAAUUACCUGCCCACGCUGCUAACAGCGCCGCACUCCACAUGGACUAACGGCACUCUCCCCUUCCGAAUGAUCUUCUUCUUUUACAUAAUGAGCUUUAUCUCGCUCCUCUCUUCCUUGCUUGGACGGUAAUGACUUCUUCCACCUUUGCUCUGCUCCACAGGUUUAUUGCCCACUUUCCUACUUAAGUGACCAUUUGCAUUUACAUAAUGGGGUUAAAACAGCAUCCCCCUCUGCAAACCCCAGGCAGAAAUUGUUGGGCAGGACCGAGAGAUUCCUGUUCAAGCGGGAAAGGAGCGGUGAGCCAGGAUAUCUUACGGAGGCCGCAGGCACCUUGGAGAGGGAGAACUAGGGCUGUUUAAAUUGGGAUUUUUGUCCCCAUCAGCAUUGGAAAGCCAAGUGGGGAGCAAAGCUACCGUGUCAUGCCACAUCACCUUGCACCUGCUGGAGUUAUAACAUUUUUAUGCAGAUUAUUCCCUUCUGAUUGGGCAGUGAUUGGACUCACUUUGCAUAACGAGGCCACCAGCUGCGGGCCAGUGGAGCUCGAUGGCAAAAUGCAGCAAGGGGUCAUUAACACAGACGCAUCUUGUUUCGGGCUUGCAUAUAUUAAUCAACCAAAGAAGCAGCUUAUUUCAAAUGGUUAUUAGGAAUAACAACAACAAAAAAGAAGCUUUGCCCGCAUUAAUAAAUGCAUCGUUAUUUCCUUACUGUAAUUCACUUCUACAUAUUUAUAAGCUCUGAGAAGGCUGAAGGUAGGAAAUCUAUAACACUCACUCCUUCCCCAGAGCAGUAGUUCAUGGGGAUUUAUGGGCUCUGAAAAUGGUCUCGAACAAAAUCAAUCCAUUUUUCAUUUAAAAAAAUCAAAACUUUCAAGGCAAUAAUUAUAGCUGAGCAGGAUUUCACUGCUGCUUUAAAAUGACCAUGAACCCAAAUAAAUUCAGGCGUCCAAAUCUGCUGUUGCUUUUAUGCAAAUGAGCGGUGCCAUCGUUCAAGGUACCUGCCACGUUGACUUUAAUUUGAUCGGUUAACGCUCGCUAGAAUACAAAAGUAAAUUGAACGUAGGCAGUCUGUUACUGAUGUGGUGUCACGACACACUGGCGUAUCCAGUCUUUUCUACACGGGCAGAUUUGGAGCUGAAAUGUGCUCUUAAAUGACAGCACACACCAGCAACAAAAGCUAUUAUUUUGUGGUGGAACGCACUGAUUCACUAAUGCCAUGUUUGUGCCACCCCAUAAUCUUAAAGUAGGAGGGGGUUUAUGGUUAUUUUUCAAUGAAAACCCAUUCAUGGGACCUGACAACACACGAGACAUUGUUUUUAUCCAAUCCACUGCACAUGCAUUAGGAAGCAAGCAGUUCUCGCAGUGAACGGGAUGCUCUUCUUCGGUCCCCGACAUGCUUCUCGCGCUCAGAAAACAGGACGCUCCGAAUCUAGAUGUUUGCAAAAUUCCCCCUAAAAUUUGCACACACAGCAGGAUGAAACUGGGCCAAAGCGUUCGAUGCAAAACCCGUUCUUGUGCCACCGGGCACGGGGUUGGUGGCUGAUAGCACGUGUGGUCAUUUCCUUCAAUGCUUUCUGAAAGCCAGCCCAGAAGCAUGGGAAAAAGCAACACUGUCAGCUCUGCAUUGCAACCCAAGAGGGGCAAACACAACUCAUCUCGCCCAACCGGACUCUCCUUUCCGUCCUCCGAUCCCCUCCAUAAACACGGCCCCGCUCCUUGAUCUUGUCUCAACACCGCGCCAGGUGUGGAGCUCUGCCUCCCCUCUUCCCUUGCUCUCCGACGUGAAACCCUCCCAUGUGUUGGCAAGAGCUGGUCUAGAGACUACCAUGUUAGUCCCCAAGGUGCUCCCUUCUGCCUAGUUUACUUUGCAAGUCUCCCAUUGGCAGACAAAAGCAAUCAGGACUCGUCGUAGUAGAAGCAAUAUCAUUGCCAGACAAGGUACUUUGGGGGAUUGUGAUCUCUUUUAUCCGACCAACUAAAAGAGAUCACAAUUAGACCAACACGGCCACAACCUGACACCAACACAGCCACAACCAACACCCCCAAGUCUCCCGCUAACAUCGGACCCCUUAUAAACCUCCUAACUCAGAUAUUUAAGUACAGCUAUUAGCUGGGAUUCUUUCAGGUGUCCUCUAAUUAUAUGUUAAUCAAGAGUAUGACAGCGUGCCGACUGUAUGCGGGUAUCUCCCAUCUUUCUUCCCAAAACACGACCAAGAAAACAAACAAAAAAAGAGACGCAGAACAAUGGCACGCAUCUGUCUCUCUUUAUGCACAUCUAAUUAAGCUCAUGAAUAUUAACAUCCAAUCUAAUAUACUACCGGUCAAUAUCUUAAUGAGAUAAACGAGCUCGCAGUGUAGUGAGACAAUCAAAUUAAACCGACUUCAUCGCAUCUUCCUGAUGAGUGACAGAACAAAUACAUUUCAAUGCCCAUUUUUAAAUCCCCUGAUCACGUUAAGAUAGCCCCGUCUAAUCUUUUCGAGAACAACAGCUGCGUCUCCUCCUGCGCGCGGCAUGUUAGCGAAACCCUUUGAAUCGCUAGAAAUUUCUCUCGAAUACCUUUUCGGAUCCAGCCCUUUUGACAUUUGGACUAGGAAGGGUUAUUCCCUCUCCAAGCCGGCUCAGCACUAAACGAGCGUCUCCUGUCGGUCUCAGCCGGGCACGCGCGAAGAUCUUCAGAGUUGCAAACUCAUUCCCUACAAACUCAUUUGCUAGGUAAUCACGGCAUGCUCGUUAGCUAUCAGCAGUUGGAGGUUUUAUUUUCUGGAGGAAGAGAGACAAUUC